rnacentral:tRNA from 1 species
GGAGGGGUAGCGAAGUGGCUAAACGCGGCAGACUGUAAAUCUGCUCCCAUCGGGUUCGGCGGUUCGAAACCGUCCCCCUCCACCA